GCCUCAGUAACGGCGAGUGAAGCGGCAACAGCUCAAAUUUGAAAUCUGGGGCCUUCGGCUCCCGAGUUGUAAUUUGUAGAGGAUGCCUCGGGGGGUGCUUCGGCCCAAGUUCCUUGGAACAGGAUACCACAGAGGGUGAGAGUCCCGUAUCCGGCCGGCAGUGCCCUCCGCGCGAGGCUCCUUCGACGAGUCGAGUUGUUUGGGAAUGCAGCUCUAAGCGGGUGGUAAAUUCCAUCUAAAGCUAAAUACUGGCCAGAGACCGAUAGCGAACAAGUAGAGUGAUCGAAAGAUGAAAAGCACUUUGAAAAGAGAGUCAAACAGUACGUGAAAUUGUUGAAAGGGAAGCGUAUGGGGGCAGACUUGGCCGCGGGGUUCAGGGUGUCUUUUGGCGCCUGUACUUCCCCGUGGGCAGGCCAGCAUCGGUUUUGGGGGUUGGAUAAAGGCGUCGGGAAUGUGGCUCCCCUCGGGGAGUGUUAUAGCCCGUCGCGCAAUGCAGCCACCCAGGAUCGAGGA
rnacentral:rRNA from 1 species